UACGUAGGGGGCAAGCGUUGUCCGGAAGCAUUGGGCGUAAAGCGCGUGUAGGCGGUCCGGUAAGUCCGCUGUGAAAGUCGGGGGCUUAACCCUCGGAUGCCGGUGGAUACUGUCGGGCUUGAGUACGGAAGAGGCGAGUGGAAUUCCUGGUGUAGCGGUGAAAUGCGCAGAUAUCAGGAGGAACACCAAUUGCGAAGGCAGCUCGCUGGGACGUUACUGACGCUGAGACGCGAAAGCGUGGGGAGCAAACAGG
rnacentral:rRNA from 1 species